rnacentral:rRNA from 1 species
GAUGAACGCUGGCGGCGUGCCUAAUACAUGCAAGUCGAGCGAACGGACGAGAAGCUUGCUUCUCUGAUGUUAGCGGCGGACGGGUGAGUAACACGUGGAUAACCUACCUAUAGGACUGGGAUAACUUCGGGAAACCGGAGCUAAUACCGGAUGAUAUUUUGAACCGCAUGGUUCAAAAGUGAAAGACGGUCUUGCUGUCACUUAUAGAUGGAUCCGCGCUGCAUUAGCUAGUUGGUAAGGUAACGGCUUACCAAGGCAACGAUGCAUAGCCGACCUGAGAGGGUGAUCGGCCACACUGGAGCUGAGACACGGUCCAGACUCCUACGGGAGGCAGCAGUAGGGAAUCUUCCGCAAUGGGCGAAAGCCUGACGGAGCAACGCCGCGUGAGUGAUGAAGGUCUUCGGAUCGUAAAACUCUGUUAUUAGGGAAGAACAUAUGUGUAAGUAACUGUGCACAUCUUGACGGUACCUAAUCAGAAAGCCACGGCUAACUACGUG